UACGGAGGAUGCAAGCGUUAUCCGGAUUUAUUGGGUUUAAAGGGUGCGUAGGCGGAUUAAUAAGUCAGUGGUGAAAUCCUGCAGCUUAACUGUGGAACUGCCAUUGAUACUGUUAGUCUUGAGUAUGGUCAAGGUAGGCGGAAUGUGUAAUGUAGCGGUGAAAUGCUUAGAUAUUACACAGAACACCGAUUGCGAAGGCAGCUUACUGGGCCAUUACUGACGCUGAUGCACGAAAGCGUGGGGAGUCGAACAGGAUUA
rnacentral:rRNA from 1 species